UAAGCAUAUCAAUAAGCGGAGGAAAAGAAACCAACCGGGAUUGCCUUAGUAACGGCGAGUGAAGCGGCAAAAGCUCAAAUUUGAAAUCUGGCGUCUUCGACGUCCGAGUUGUAAUUUGAAGAAGGCGACUUUGUAGCUGGUCCUUGUCUAUGUUCCUUGGAACAGGACGUCAUAGAGGGUGAGAAUCCCGUGUGGCGAGGAUCCCAGUUAUUUGUAAAGUGCUUUCGACGAGUCGAGUUGUUUGGGAAUGCAGCUCUAAGUGGGUGGUAAAUUCCAUCUAAAGCUAAAUAUUGGCGAGAGACCGAUAGCGAACAAGUACAGUGAUGGAAAGAUGAAAAGAACUUUGAAAAGAGAGUGAAAAAGUACGUGAAAUUGUUGAAAGGGAAGGGCAUUUGAUCAGACAUGGCGUUUGCUUCGGCUUUCGCUGGGCCAGCAUCAGUUUUAGCGGUUGGAUAAAUCCUCGGGAAUGUGGCUCUGCUUCGGUAGAGUGUUAUAGCCCGUGGGAAUACAGCCAGCUGGGACUGAGGAUUGCGACUUUUGUCAAGGAUGCUGGCGUAAUGGUUAAAUGCCGCCCGUCUUGAAACACGGACCAAGGAGUCUAACGUCUAUGCGAGUGUUUGGGUGUAAAACCCGUACGCGUAAUGAAAGUGAACGUAGGUGAGGGCCCGCAAGGGUGCAUCAUCGACCGAUCCUGAUGUCUUCGGAUGGAUUUGAGUAAGAGCAUAGCUGUUGGGACCCGAAAGAUGGUGAACUAUGCCUGAAUAGGGUGAAGCCAGAGGAAACUCUGGUGGAGGCUCGUAGCGGUUCUGACGUGCAAAUCGAUCGUCGAAUUUGGGUAUAGGGGCGAAAGACUAAUCGAACCAUCUAGUAGCUGGUUCCUGCCGA
rnacentral:rRNA from 1 species